rnacentral:tRNA from 4 species
GCCCGGGUGGUGGAAUUGGUAGACACGCAGGACUUAAAAUCCUGUGACCAUUGCGGUCGUGCGGGUUCAAGUCCCGCCCCGGGUA